UGUUUUCUAUAGGAAAAUAUAAUUACGUAGCAUAGUAAUGUACUAGUAUUUUUUAGGGGUGAUAGGCUAUUCAAAUAUGAUGAUAACUUGAUAUGUAAAAAAGAUAUUUAGUAUAUAGACAAAUUAUGAAAGUUAAGCUUCGUAAUAAUAAUUAAACUUAUUAAUUGAUUUUAUUAUAGUUUAAUAACUAAUAAAAACUUAAAAAAACAUUUAAUUUAUGAUAUUAUUUAACUAAUUACAUUAUAUUUUUUUUAUUUUUAAUAUAAAUUAUGUUAGUAUAAGUAAUAAUAACAAGUAAAUUAAAGGAACUCGGCAAAGUAUUUUUCAACUGUUUAUCAAAAACAUAACUAUAUGAUAUAAUAUAUAGCUAUUCCUGCUCAAUGAUACGUUAAAUAGCCGCAGUACCCUGACUGUGCAAAGGUAGCAUAAUCAAUUGGCUUUUAAUUGGAGUCUUGUAUGAAGGGACAUAUGGAAAAUGACUGUCUUUAAUUUAUUAUUGCUAAAUUAAUUUGUAAGUGAAAAUACUUACUCAACUAUAAAGGACGAGAAGACCCUAGAAGCUUUUCGAUUAUUUUGUUGGGGCGACAGAAUUACAGAAAACUAAUUUUAGUAUACUAGACGUGUAUACAGAGAGAUAAAGCUACUCUAGGGAUAACAGCAUAAUUUUUACAGUUUGUGACCUCGAUGUUGGACUAGGAAAUUUAUUGUUUAGAAGACAAUGAAGUACGCUCUGUUCGAGCU
rnacentral:rRNA from 1 species